rnacentral:rRNA from 1 species
CACGUAGGCACCAAGCGUUGUCCGGAUUUAUUGGGCGUAAAGAGCUCGUAGGCGGUUCGGUAAGUCGGGUGUGAAAACUCUGGGCUCAACCCAGAGCCGCCACCCGAUACUGCUGUGACUCGAGUGCGGUAGGGGAGCGGGGAAUUCCUGGUGUAGCGGUGAAAUGCGCAGAUAUCAGGAGGAACACCGGUGGCGAAGGCGGGUCUCUGGGCCGAUAUUGACGCUGAGGAGCGAAAGCGUGGGGAGCGAACAGG